UGUACGCUUAUUUUAUACUUUAACUUUGAUUUUAUUUUUAUGUUUUUUAAAUAUUGGUGUUUUUGAAUGUGUUGUUUAAAUAACAUAAAAAAUAAAAUAUAUAUUGACAUGUAUUAAACAAAGAUAUAUAUUAUUUUAUGUUGUAUAAAUAAAUUGGCAAAAUAGAGAUGGAAGAUAAAAAUAUGGUCAAAGUAAUAAGAGUCUAUGGUGAAUGCCUAGGA
rnacentral:misc_RNA from 1 species